rnacentral:rRNA from 1 species
ACGGGAGGCAGCAGUCGGGAAUAUUGCGCAAUGGAGGAAACUCUGACGCAGUGACGCCGCGUAUAGGAAGAAGGUUUUAGGAUUGUAAACUAUUUUAGACAGGGAAGAAACAAGACAGUACCUAAGGAGGAAGCCCCGGCUAACUAUGUGCCAGCAGCCGCGGUAAUACAUAGGGGGCGAGCGUUAUCCGGAAUUAUUGGGUGUAAAGGGUGCGUAGACGGGAAAGCAAGUUAGUUGUGAAAUCCCUCGGCUUAACUGAGGAACUGCAACUAAAACUACUAUUCUUGAGUGUCGGAGGGGAAAGUGGAAUUCCUAGUGUAGCGGUGAAAUGCGUAGAUAUUAGGAGGAACACCAGUGGCGAAGGCGACUUUCUGGACGAUAACUGACGUUGAUGCACGAAAGUGUGGGGAGCAAACAGGAUUAGAUACCCUGGUA